rnacentral:rRNA from 1 species
UGUUAUAGUAUUUUAUUGUCCACGCGCGUUA